GGGGGCGACCAGGUUUCGACGUGGGUUGCAAAGCAACGUAGGGCAUACCGAGGACCAGCUACCUCGUAAAUACAACUGGAAAAAAAAUAGUCGCAAACGACGAAAACUACUCCUUAGCCGCUUAAUACCGGCUGAGCUCUGCACCGGAACUCUCAUGGGCCGGGUCAGGCAACUGACUGCAGAGUCAUCUACAUGAGAUCGCGCUGAUUCGGGUUACUUGGAUCAGGGCUAAAUUUAGGUAACUCGCUUGAAUCCAGCCUGUUCGAUUGGCGUGAUUCGGGUUAAAACCAAAUAAUCGGACUAAGUAUGUAGAACUGCCUGUAGAGGGCUUGCGGACGGGGGUUCGAUUCCCCCCGCCUCCACCA
rnacentral:tmRNA from 1 species